CGGCCUGAGGUCGGACGAGGCUACCCGCUGUAUUUAAGCAUAUUACUAAGCGGAGGAAAAGAAACUAACGAGGAUUCCCUCAGUAACGGCGAGUGAAGCGGGACGAGCCCAGCGCCGAAUCCGGCCGCUUAUGGAGCGGACGGAAUUGGGCG
rnacentral:ncRNA from 1 species